AGCGAACGCUGGCGGCAGGCUUAACACAUGCAAGUCGAGCGGACCUUUCGGGGUCAGCGGCGGACGGGUGAGUAACGCGUGGGAACGUGCCUUCCGGUUCGGAAUAACCCUGGGAAACUAGGGCUAAUACCGGAUACGCCCUUAUGGGGAAAGGUUUACUGCCGGAAGAUCGGCCCGCGUCUGAUUAGCUAGUUGGUGGGGUAACGGCCUACCAAGGCGACGAUCAGUAGCUGGUCUGAGAGGAUGAUCAGCCACACUGGGACUGAGACACGGCCCAGACUCCUACGGGAGGCAGCAGUGGGGAAUAUUGGACAAUGGGCGCAAGCCUGAUCCAGCCAUGCCGCGUGAGUGAUGAAGGCCUUAGGGUUGUAAAGCUCUUUUAUCCGGGACGAUAAUGACGGUACCGGAGGAAUAAGCCCCGGCUAACUUCAUG
rnacentral:rRNA from 1 species